AGCUUUGCACAGUGGCAGUAUUGUAGCCAAUGAGGUUUAUCCGAGGCACAAUUAUUGCUAAGAAAAAUAAAAUAAAUAAAAUGAAAUAUUUUCUAUGUUUCAAUCAGAUCAAGUUAAUUGUGCUGCCCAGGUCU